rnacentral:rRNA from 1 species
CAGCAGUAGGGAAUAUUGCGCAAUGGGGGAAACCCUGACGCAGCAACGCCGCGUGGAGGAUGACACUUUUCGGAGCGUAAACUCCUUUUCUUAGGGAAGAAUUCUGACGGUACCUAAGGAAUAAGCACCGGCUAACUCCGUGCCAGCAGCCGCGGUAAUACGGAGGGUGCAAGCGUUACUCGGAAUCACUGGGCGUAAAGGGCGCGUAGGCGGAUUAUCAAGUCUCUUGUGAAAUCUAAUGGCUUAACCAUUAAACUGCUUGGGAAACUGAUAGUCUAGAGUGAGGGAGAGGCAGAUGGAAUUGGUGGUGUAGGGGUAAAAUCCGUAGAUAUCACCAAGAAUACCCAUUGCGAAGGCGAUCUGCUGGAACUCAACUGACGCUAAGGCGCGAAAGCGUGGGGAGCAAACAGGAUUAGAUACCCUGGUAGUCCACGCCCUAAACGAUGUACACUAGUUGUUGGGGUGCUAGUCAUCUCAGUAAUGCAGCUAACGCAUUAAGUGUACCGCCUGGGGAGUACGGUCGCAAGAUUAAAACUCAAAGGAAUAGACGGGGACCCGCACAAGCGGUGGAGCAUGUGGUUUAAUUCGAAGAUACGCGAAGAACCUUACCUGGGCUUGAUAUCCUAAGAACCUUUUAGAGAUAAGAGGGUGCUAGCUUGCUAGAACUUAGAGACAGGUGCUGCACGGCUGUCGUCAGCUCGUGUCGUGAGAUGUUGGGUUAAGUCCCGCAACGAGCGCAACCCACGUAUUUAGUUGCUAACGGUUCGGCCGAGCACUCUAAAUAGACUGCCUUCGUAAGGAGGAGGAAGGUGUGGACGACGUCAAGUCAUCAUGGCCCUUAUGCCCAGGGCGACACACGUGCUACAAUGGCAUAUACAAUGAGACGCAAUACCGCGAGGUGGAGCAAAUCUAUAAAAUAUGUCCCAGUUCGGAUUGUUCUCUGCAACUCGAGAGCAUGAAGCCGGAAUCGCUAGUAAUCGUAGAUCAGCCAUGCUACGGUGAAUACGUUCCCGGGUCUUGUACUCACCGCCCGUCACACCAUGGGAGUUGAUUUCACUCGAAGCCGGAAUACUAAACUAGUUACCGUCCACAGUGGAAUCAGCGACUGGGGUGAAGUCGUAACAAGGUAACCGUAGGAGAACCUGCGGUUGGAUCACCUCCUUU